UACGUAGGGGGCAAGCGUUGUCCGGAAUCAUUGGGCGUAAAGCGCGUGUAGGCGGCUCGGUAAGUCCGCUCUGAAAGUCCAGGGCUCAACCCUGGGAUGCGGGUGGAUACUGCCGGGCUCGAGUCCGGAAGAGGCGAGUGGAAUUCCCGGUGUAGCGGUGAAAUGCGCAGAUAUCGGGAGGAACACCAAUGGCGAAGGCGAGCUC
rnacentral:rRNA from 1 species